AUUUGACAUCUGGGAAAGUCUCUCUUUACCUCUUGAUUCUCAUGAUGAAUUCAUGUAAUUUCAUGCCCCACAUCUCUAUAUUUAUUCUCUCUUCCAAAAGUAGUCAUUUCUCCUGCUACUAACUACUUAAGUUUGUUAAAAGAAAAACAUUAUACUAAUUAAAUUAAUCCAAGAUGUUUAUAAACAUUUUAAAUACCUUGUUAAAGGAUUAAAUCACAAACUCCUAAAAUUUUAUCUAUUCAUUCAACAGAAUUAUGUUUAUACUUUGGUGAUGUUAUUGCAAUUUUUCAUAGGGAAAGAUUUUUAUAACUCAAAUUAUUACUUUUGAAAACUAUCUGUAGUUAAAUAUCCAUCCUUUUCAUUAUAAAAUUACAGUUGGUUUCACCAAUUCUCCCUAAAGAGUCAUGAAGUAUUGCAUACAAACAGGUGUGAUAAUACCUACUUCAUCAGCUUGUUAUAAGGAUUAAAUGAGAUAAUGUACAUGAAGAUUUAACACAGUUUUGUUACAUAUAAAAUUUUCAUGGAGUUCCUAUUGUGGCUCAGCAGUAAUGAACCCGACUAGUACCCAUGAGAAUGUGGGUUCAAUCCCCGGCUUCAUUCAGUGGUUUAAGGAUCCAGCGUUGCCGUGAACUGCAGUGUAGGUCACAGACGCGGCUCGGAUCCUGCAUUGCUGUGGCUGUGGCAUAGACUGGCAACUGUAGCUCCAAUUAAACCCCUAGCCUGGGAACUUCCACAUGCCGCCUGUGUGGCACUAAAAAGCAAAAGAUAAAAAAUAAAACGUUUUUUCAAUAAAUACUAUCUAUUUUUGUUAUUAAAGGUGAGAAAACCAAGAUUCUCUGACACUUUUUCACUGAAACCCUUUACCUUUUUUAGACAUUUAAAACUUUUACAUAGUCAAUUUUAAACCCCCAAGAUAGUAUAGUAAAAAUGCAUAAUAAAUAUCUUUUAAAACUUAUUUUCAUACUUUUAUGCAAAUGCAAAAGAAAGAGUAAGAAUAACUCUAUUUAACAUAUUACAGUAACAAGGUUUAAUAUUCUCAGGCAAUAGGCCAUGUGUGAGACUGUAAGGUCUUUGCCAAACAGUUCACCAAAGGGGCCCCAGCCUAAUCCUAGCUCAGCUUAAAUGUCCCUACAGAGCCCUAGGGAUGGAUUCCUACCCGGGUUGGAUUCCUACCCAGUCACCCAGAAUCAUGCUUAGCAAACUCCUUGUUGGGAAAACAACUCUGACUCCACAAGAUUCCCAGAGCCCCUUAAAACUGGAUUGGAAGUGGAAAGCUAAAUAACCAUUUAGAAGCUGCUAUUCAUGAGGCCAUGAGUGAACUGGACAAAAUGUCUGGGACUGUUCACCAAAUCCCACAGGGAGACAGACAAAUGAGACCCCCCAAACCCAAGAGGAGGAAGAUCUCCAGAUAACAGGGACUACUCCACCCAUGUGCAGUGUUUAUUAAAGGAGUGUGCACAGAGAGAACUGUCUAUAAGUAUUGAUACAGCCUCUGUUAUAUCAAUAUUUAUAUGAUGGCAGACAGUUACCACCACCACAGGGUGCUAAAAGAAACAGUGAUACAGUAUUUUUUUGAUCAGGAAGGAUAAAGAAUGCUUGAGAACCAAUCAGGAUCCCCUGAAUGAUGAAAGUGAUAAAUGGUCAAGAGAUUACUGAGAAACUCUUUUUUUCUACAGUACUAAAAUUGUGAUUAUAAGAAAUAGUCCAAAUGUUUCUGAAGAAUUUUCAAUGUUGUAUAUAGAAAAUACAGAAUUUCAUGGUGAUAUCAGAAAUGUAAAUAUUGUACAAUAUUGUCAUGUACAAGCGUACCUAAUGCACACUUUAUCUUUUAUUGUACAAAGAAAUAGUGUACAAAAUUCUUUGGUUUCUAUGGAGUACACCUACCAGAGACUACAAGUGUAAAGUGAUAAAUAAAAAUACAACCU
rnacentral:lncRNA from 1 species